GCGGGUGUGGCGGAACUGGCAGACGCGCUAGAUUUAGGUUCUAGUGUCUUACGACGUGGGGGUUCAAAUCCCUUCACCCGCAC
rnacentral:tRNA from 1 species